rnacentral:misc_RNA from 1 species
GAAAUGCGAUAAGUAAUGCGAAUUGCAGAAUUUCCGUGAGUCAUCGAAUCUUUGAACGCACAUUGCGCCCAUUGGUAUUCCGAUGGGCAUGCCUGUUCGAGCGUCAUUAUCCUCCCUCAAACCCCCGGUUUGGUGUUGGACCGCGUCGACCUGCGAGGGUCGACUGGUCUCAAAGACAAUGACGGCGUCCGUGGGACCCUCUUCGCAACGAGCUUUCGGGCACGCGAACACAAAGGACCCGCGGGCCGGCCACCCUUCUUAUCAUUUACAAGGUUGACCUCGGAUCAGGUAGGAAUACCCGCUGAACUUAA